rnacentral:misc_RNA from 1 species
UUCUUUUGUUCUCUUCAUGUUUGAUGAAAAUUGGGUUGGUGGGUUCUUGUUUUCAACUCCAUUCUUCUUCUUCCUUGCUCUAAAGCCAUCUUUUUCUCUGGAUUUUCUUUGUGGGUUUAAGUGAGGAAUUCUGAAAUAGGAAUUGGAUUCGAUCUUGUAGGAGAUGAAGGGAAAGGGUGGGGCUCUGGGAACUUACUUUGUCUUGAACACGGGAGCCAAAAUUCCUGCCAUUGGUCUGGGAACAUGGCAGAGUGGUGGGGACCUCUGUGUUGAAGCCGUCAAAACUGCCUUAUCUGUUGGUUAUCGUCAUAUAGACUGUGCCCAUCUCUAUGGAAAUGAGGUUGAAGUUGGGGAAGCGCUUGCUCAAGCUUUCAAUGCUUCCCUUAAGAGGGAAGAUGUUUUCUUGACCUCUAAGCUCUACUGUACCAUGAACUCUCUCAAUAAGAUUGACAAUUAUGUCAGGGUUUCUCUAAAGAAUCUUGGAGUCUCUUACUUGGAUCUGUAUUUGAUGCAUUGGCCUGAUAUCUCAGCCUUUGGUGACGCAACUGAUCCUCCUUCCAAGUCUGGGACUGAGUAUAGACAAUUCUUGAAUCGAUUGAAGAAAGCUUGGAAGGCCAUGGAAGGUCUUGUGGAGUUGGAUCUUGUAAGAGCUAUUGGAGUCAGUAAUUUCAAUGUUCAGCAGAUCAAGGAGUUGCUUAAAUUUGCAAAAAUUGUCCCUGCCGUUAAUCAGGUUGAGUUGCAUCCCUUUUGGAGGCAAGAAGAAUUAGUAAAGUUCUG